rnacentral:rRNA from 1 species
UACAGAGGUCUCGAGCGUUGUUCGGAUUCAUUGGGCGUAAAGGGUGCGUAGGUGGCGCUGUAAGUCGGGUGUGAAAUCCUGGGGCUUAACCCCGGAACUGCAUUCGAUACUGCAGUGCUUGAGGACUGGAGAGGAGACUGGAAUUCAUGGUGUAGCAGUGAAAUGCGUAGAGAUUAUGAGGAAGACCAGUGGCGAAGGCGGGUCUCUGGACAGUUCCUGACACUGAGGCACGAAGGCCAGGGGAGCAAACGGG